rnacentral:pre_miRNA from 1 species
UUCAUACUUCCUCUGUCUCAAAAUAAGUGACUCAAAAAUAACUCAAUUUUGUACUAACUUUAGUACAAAGUAGAAUCACUUUUGAGUCACUUAUUUUGGGACAGAGGGAGUACAAA